rnacentral:rRNA from 1 species
ACGGGAGGCAGCAGUGAGGAAUAUUGGUCAAUGGAGGCAACUCUGAACCAGCCAAGUCGCGUGAAGGAAGAAGGCCCUACGGGUCGUAAACUUCUUUUGCAGGGGGAUAAAGUCGGCCACGCGUGGCCGUUUGCAGGUACCCUGUGAAUAAGCAUCGGCUAACUCCGUGCCAGCAGCCGCGGUAAUACGGAGGAUGCGAGCGUUAUCCGGAUUUAUUGGGUUUAAAGGGUGCGCAGGCGGGCUGUUAAGUCAGCGGUGAAAUCUCCGGGCUCAACUCGGAAACUGCCGUUGAUACUGGCGGUCUUGAUUCAUGUCGAGGAUGGCGGAAUGCAGCGUGUAGCGGUGAAAUGCAUAGAUAUGACGAAGAACACCGAUUGCGUAGGCAGCAGACCAGGCCGUAAAUGACGCUCAUGCACGAAAGUGCGGGGAUCGAACAGGAUUAGAUACCCUGGUA